rnacentral:rRNA from 1 species
ACGAACGCUGGCGGCAGGCUUAACACAUGCAAGUCGAGCGCCCUGCAAGGGGAGCGGCAGACGGGUGAGUAACGCGUGGGAAUCUACCCAUCUCUACGGAAUAACGCAUGGAAACGUGUGCUAAUACCGUAUACGUCCUUCGGGAGAAAGAUUUAUCGGAGAUGGAUGAGCCCGCGUUGGAUUAGCUAGUUGGUGGGGUAAAGGCCUACCAAGGCGACGAUCCAUAGCUGGUCUGAGAGGAUGAUCAGCCACACUGGGACUGAGACACGGCCCAGACUCCUACGGGAGGCAGCAGUGGGGAAUAUUGGACAAUGGGCGCAAGCCUGAUCCAGCCAUGCCGCGUGACUGAUGAAGGCCCUAGGGUUGUAAAGCUCUUUCACCGGUGAAGAUAAUGACGGUAACCGGAGAAGAAGCCCCGGCUAACUUCGUGCCAGCAGCCGCGGUAAUACGAAGGGGGCUAGCGUUGUUCGGAUUUACUGGGCGUAAAGCGCACGUAGGCGGAUUAUUAAGUCAGGGGUGAAAUCCCGGGGCUCAACCCCGGAACUGCCUUUGAUACUGGUAGUCUAGAGUUCGAGAGAGGUGAGUGGAAUUCCGAGUGUAGAGGUGAAAUUCGUAGAUAUUCGGAGGAACACCAGUGGCGAAGGCGGCUCUACUGGCUCGAUACUGA